CUGGGCUGAGCCCGCGGGGCCCCGGGCCCCUGCGAACCAUUCUGGGCGGGGCGGGAGGCGAAGGCGGCCCUGGUCCGCGCUCGCCGGGUGAGUUCGUGGCGCAGGCCUAGGCGGGACCCGUACCCCACGUUUGGGGCCUCCGCAGUAUGCGGACGCCACGUCGGCGUUGUCACUGACCCGGCCGGAACCCAGCCUUGAGAAGCGCGAGCUGUGGGGGCCACGUCUCGCGGCGGGGUACGACCAGGGUGACCGGGUAGAGAGGGAUAGAGUCACCAAAGUUUGGCAAGGUAUAAACCUAUCCAUGAGAAAGACUACAUUCUCCCAGCCACUCUUACAGCUGUAGGCAACACUCAUUCACAGAGGUGGAGCACCAGCAUGACUAAGCACAGGCAAAGAGCACAGGAGUUGGAGCUAAAGGAGUAGAUCCAAUAAUGAGACAGGUUUGUUUUUCUCUUAGACAGUCACUCAUGUUGUUAAAGCCACACUUGGGUUCUUUUUAUUCCUUGACUGUAACAAUCCCAUCUCCACCUUUGGGCCUUUGGAUUUGCUGUUUCCUCAUCGAUGUGAGAAGGGUAAUGCUUUUGAGAAAUCAGUGCAUUGAGAAAGAGAACAAAGAACCAGGUAAAUAAAGCAGGCUCUCCCGCUUUUCCAUGCCUGUGUACUUUCCCUCUGAGGUUCAGAGGCUUGAUCCUAUCUGAAAUGACCUCUUUACUAUCCUGUGCACCUAUCCAGAUCUUCUCCACCCUGAAGGUCCAGCCCAGGCUUCCACUACAUCCAUGUCCAUGCCAUCCCUGACCCUUGCCAUCCAAAGACCAUUUUACAAAAAUCAUCAUAGACCACCAGAGGCAGUCUGGUUCUGGGUAAAUUCUCCUUUAAGGUGUGAGUGCGGGUCUUCUAGACUUGAUGCCAAAUUCUUUGAAGAUGAUUCCCUACCUUGGUUGCAUAUUGGAAUCACCCAGGAGCUUUCAGAAAUGUUUUAUCUGUGUCCCACCCCCGAGAUUCUGAUUUAAUGGGUCUGGGUGUAUGUCCAGGGCAUCAGAAUCUUUCCAGCUUCCUCAGGUAAUUCUAUCGUGCAAACAUUUUAAGAACCAUCAGCUUUCCUGCGAGGACUCUCUCUCUGCAGGUAGUUUAAAUUAUUAUGGAUUCUUGAUUAGUUUAUAAAAUAAAGAAAAGGGAACAUGCUACUGCUUGUCGAAGGCUGCUGAAGCUUCAAGCCCGAAGUGCACAGAUUUGAUCUGUAGGGUCCUUUAGAUUCUUGCUUCUCAAAAUGUGGUCCAUGGGUCAGUAGAACAUCAUUACAAGGAGCCUAUUAGAGGUGUAAAAACUCAAGCCGCGUCCCCCCCACCCCCAGUCUUGAGAACUGUGGAACUUUCAGUACAAAUGAUUUUGUCCAGCCCCCAAUUUAGGAGACCUGAACAAAACUAUGUUUCCUAGCAUAGUUUUUAGCACUCAAGGUUGUUUCUUGGGGAGACCCAGCCCCCUAAGUCCUUGCCUGGGGAAGCUCAAGGCUGUCCAAAGAAUUUACCCAUUGCUCCAGCCAAACAUCUGA